GCGGCCAUGGUUUAAUGGCUAUAACACGACCUUGCCAAGGUUGAGAUAGGAGUUCGAUUCUCCUUGGCCGCA
rfam:Parcubacteria bacterium GW2011_GWA2_40_37 TT01_C0002, whole genome shotgun sequence.